UGCAUGCUGGACAUGGCGCCAUGCUAGCCAGUCCAACCGGGCGUACUGCCACCCCCCGACUCGCCCGCAAGCAUGCGGGCCGGGCGUUGUGGGUUCCAGCCGCUGCAGCUGAGGCACAUCUUCCUGCAAAUGAGGCGACAUUACACACGGUUCAGGCAAGACGGGUUUGCUAUAGGAAGGCCCAGGAGUUACCUGCCGAGACUAGCGCUGCUCGUUUGCGCUGUUGCCGUUUCUGCGCAGCGCAUUAGCAAUUUAUCAUAACGCACAAUUGAAGGUGUAGGAGCGAUGUCAC
rnacentral:lncRNA from 1 species